rnacentral:rRNA from 1 species
CGGAGCAUGUGGUUUAAUUCGAAGCAACGCGAAGAACCUUACCAGGGCUUGACAUGCCGCUGACCGGUUUAGAGAUAGACCUUUAUCCUUCGGGGUACAGCGGACACAGGUGGUGCAUGGUUGUCGUCAGCUCGUGUCGUGAGAUGUUGGGUUAAGUCCCGCAACGAGCGCAACCCCUAUUGUUAGUUGCCAUCAUUCAGUUGGGCACUCUAGCGAGACUGCCGGUAAUAAACCGGAGGAAGGUGGGGAUGACGUCAAUCAUCAUGCCCCUUAUGACCUGGGCUACACACGUGCUACAAUGGUUGGUACAACGAGUUGCGAGUCGGUGACGGCGAGCUAAUCUCUUAAAGCCAAUCUCAGUUCGGAUUGUAGGCUGCAACUCGCCUACAUGAAGUCGGAAUCGCUAGUAAUCGCGGAUCAGCACGCCGCGGUGAAUACGUUCCCGGGCCUU